rnacentral:rRNA from 1 species
CAGCCAUAAACAAUGUGCGUUAGGUGUGUCGGUAACCACGUGUUACUGAUGCGCCGAGGAGAAGUCGUGAAACGCACCACCUGGGAAGUACGGUCGCAAGGCUGAAACUUAAAGGAAUUGGCGGGGGAGCACCACAACAGGUGGAGCCUGCGGUUUAAUUGGAUUCAACGCCGGACAUCUCACCGGAUAAGACAGCUGAAUGAUUGUCAAUCUGAAGGUUUUACAUGACUAGCUGAGAGGAGGUGCAUGGCGUC